UUGAUCCUGGCUCAGGACGAACGCUGGCGGCGUGCCUAAUACAUGCAAGUCGAGCGUAUCUUGGGAGCUUGCUCCCGAAGGUUAGCGGCGGACGGGUGAGUAACACGUGGGCAACCUGCCUAUAAGACUGGGAUAACUUCGGGAAACCGGAGCUAAUACCGGAUAAUCCUUUUCCUCUCAUGAGGGAAAGCUGAAAGACGGUUUCGGCUGUCACUUAUAGAUGGGCCCGCGGCGCAUUAGCUAGUUGGUGAGGUAACGGCUCACCAAGGCGACGAUGCGUAGCCGACCUGAGAGGGUGAUCGGCCACACUGGGACUGAGACACGGCCCAGACUCCUACGGGAGGCAGCAGUAGGGAAUCUUCCGCAAUGGACGAAAGUCUGACGGAGCAACGCCGCGUGAACGAUGAAGGCUUUCGGGUCGUAAAGUUCUGUUGUUAGGGAAGAACAAGUAUCGGAGUAACUGCCGGUACAUUGACGGUACCUAACCAGAAAGCCACGGUCUA
rnacentral:rRNA from 1 species